GACGAACGCUGGCGGCGUGCUUAACACAUGCAAGUCGAACGGAAAGGCCCUGCUUUUGUGGGGUGCUCGAGUGGCGAACGGGUGAGUAACACGUGAGUAACCUGCCCUUGACUUUGGGAUAACUUCAGGAAACUGGGGCUAAUACCGGAUAGGAGCUCCUGCUGCAUGGUGGUGGUUGGAAAGUUUCGGCGGUUGGGGAUGGACUCGCGGCUUAUCAGCUUGUUGGUGGGGUAGUGGCUUACCAAGGCUUUGACGGGUAGCCGGCCUGAGAGGGUGACCGGCCACAUUGGGACUGAGAUACGGCCCAGACUCCUACGGGAGGCAGCAGUGGGGAAUAUUGCACAAUGGGCGGAAGCCUGAUGCAGCAGCGCCGCGUGCGGGAUGACGGCCUUCGGGUUGUAAACCGCUUUCGCCUGUGACGAAGCGUGAGUGACGGUAAUGGGUAAAGAAGCACCGGCUAACUACGUG
rnacentral:rRNA from 1 species